rnacentral:rRNA from 1 species
CCUACGGGCGGCUGCAGUGGGGAAUAUUGCACAAUGGGCGCAAGCCUGAUGCAGCCAUGCCGCGUGUGUGAAGAAGGCCUUCGGGUUGUAAAGCACUUUCAGCGGGGAGGAAGGCGGUGAGGUUAAUAACCUCAUCGAUUGACGUUACCCGCAGAAGAAGCACCGGCUAACUCCGUGCCAGCAGCCGCGGUAAUACGGAGGGUGCAAGCGUUAAUCGGAAUUACUGGGCGUAAAGCGCACGCAGGCGGUCUGUCAAGUCGGAUGUGAAAUCCCCGGGCUCAACCUGGGAACUGCAUUCGAAACUGGCAGGCUAGAGUCUUGUAGAGGGGGGUAGAAUUCCAGGUGUAGCGGUGAAAUGCGUAGAGAUCUGGAGGAAUACCGGUGGCGAAGGCGGCCCCCUGGACAAAGACUGACGCUCAGGUGCGAAAGCGUGGGGAGCAAACAGGAUUAGAACCCUGGUAGUC